rnacentral:tRNA from 1 species
GGGGUUGUGGUGUAGCUUGGCCCAGCAUUAGAGGUUUGGGACCUUUAGACCCAGGUUCAAAUCCUGGCAACCCCA